AAAACAGGGAAAAUGGACAUUGUGGACUUUUCUGAAGAUUAAUAUUACAAGGAUCUGUGUAAGGCUAAUUGGAGGCCCAGCAACAAAAAUAUAAAUAUUCUUUAUCAUUGAUUUGUGUGGUGUUGCAGGUUCUAAUACAUCAGAUAAUGCAUAAGAGUGCACAAAGCCUUCACCAGAGCAUUUUUAACAAGGGUGUGUAAGCUUACUCUGAGUGUGCAGUAUGUCUCUGCCAAUGCCAUGGUGAUUAGAAAGCAAGAAUGAGCCCCUCUUUGAAAGUACCAAGUAUUUCCUCUGCGGCCAAAGAGCACAUUCAAAAGAGAUCUUAACAAGUAGAAAUAUUUGCAAACAAUGUAAUCCAUUGUUUAAUGAGCAGGAUAGAGAAAAUGAGAGGUUGGACUGGGGGUGAAUGAGCGGGUACAGUGAGGUAUAGCAAAAAGAAUGCUGAGAAGAAACCGUAAACAGCAGAAAGGAAUGAGGUGGAGGAAAACUUGCGAAGAAAGUUGCAAAAAGAAGAUGUGUAUAUGUCGGGCUGUGAAAAAGAAUCUUGACAAAACAAAGCAAUAGCUUACACAUCAGGCUCUAUGUAGGGAAUAACAGCCCAGAUUUGACUGGCUUUUAGGGAGCUUAAAAGAAUAGUAAAGGCCAAGCUGAGCUAAACUCUUGAGAAUACAGAAGUGUCUUGAGGCCACAGGGAGAUCGAUUGUGAGAGAGACAAAAACAACUUUUCCAUCUGGUUCCUGAAUAGUCUACACUGGCAAAUAACCUUGUUCGUUCCUCUGUAGAUUUCUAGUCAUGUUUCUAGUCAACACUUGGAGGCCCUUAGAAAAACCAGGCAUCUAAAGGUUGGCAACCAACCAACCAACCAACACAAAAUAUACACAAACCCUUGAGUCACUUAGUUUUAUUUUUUCCUCCCUCCUGCCUUUUUACCGCUGAGGUAAAUAUCUCCUGGUAAAUAUCUCUAAGCCCUAAACUUAUAUCAGCUUUCCUCAACAUAAAAUGUUAAUGUCAUGAAUGGAGAGAAGGAG